rnacentral:ribozyme from 1 species
AUCUAUUCUGUAAGCUUGUGUGGUAUCGAUCCGAAGCCUGUCCAAGGACAGUCUAAGCCAUCCAUACACUACUCCUAUUCAAUAUGUUCACGGCGCACUGAAUGGUAAGUUGGGGGCGCAAGUGUUUUGUCCAAGCGUGUAAGCUAGGAUAUACGAGAAUACCCAAUCUCUUGGGAAGAUGAAAGAUGGAGCUGU